rnacentral:lncRNA from 1 species
CCAGAGCUCAGGCUGGGGAAGCUGGGAUUUCGGCCGGCAGCCCCCCGUGACAGGGUGGGGAGAGAAGGGAGCAUUUGGUGCCCUGUGGUACUGGGAGUCCCUGCCCUGCCUCACUCUCUCCAGGCCAGUAGUGUCCUCUGGGGCCUCUCUGCGCCCCACAGCUAGCCCAGGGUCUCUGUCGGGGCCCCUGAUCCCCCACACACUGCAUGGCUCUCCUGCCUGAACCCUCAUCACCUCAGCUUGAACCUAGGUGACUCUGCCCCUGUCUGGCCCCACAGCCUUGCUGUGUCCCCUCUGAGCCCCAGGCUCAGACGCUUCCUGGCAUCCCUUCUUUUAUUCUUUUAGUUUAUUUACUUAUUUAAUUUUUUGAAACAGGGCCUUGCUGUAUUGCCCAGGGCCACCUUGAACUCCUGAUCCUCCUGGUCCUGGCCUCUCAUGAGGCAGGGGUCCCCUCCCGCCAUGGAGAUGUUCCACACAGGCCUGAGCAGGCCAGGGGCUGCCACAGCAGGAGCCAGGUCUCCCCUCCCUGGGCGAAGCCAGGACAGGCCCGCGCCCCCCUGCAACUCCACUCCUCCAGGGCCCUGGGGAGAUUCUCACCCUGGGCCACCAGCCUCCUGUGGUUUUGAAAGUCCUGCCAGAGGACAUUCCAAUCCAAGAUUGCAUCUGACAUCUUAGUAGCUGGAAAUGGGGGGAGUAGGCCUCGCCGAUUUCAGAUAAAUAAAACGAGGACUCCCAGCCCCUCGGCCAGUCAGAGCUGCAAGUCCCCAGGAUGCAGAGAGCCUGGCCUGACUCCGGAAUACAGGUCACCCAGCCAGGGGCCAUAGGAGGCUGCCAGGGAUCAGCAAGGGGAGAGGAACACAAGCUGGAAUCCCUGAGCUGCUCCGCACACAGGCGCACCCACACCCCGGCGCACCCACACCCCGUAACUGCACCCGCACCAAGGCCAUUGCCUACCUGAGACAGACCCAGAGCACUGUGACAGCCUGGACUUGCUGCUAGAGGUGGCUCUUGGCAGCCAGAGGACUGGGGCUGGCCAGGCUCCCCAGCCUGGAGGACAGAAGCUAGCACCGACCUGCAGUGGCUGGACUGGGCAGGGCUCCGCCUCAGGAGACAACACCUGAGGCAGGAGGGAAGGACACCCGAGAGGUGUGGCUGGGGCUUCGUCCCUGUGGGAGGUGGGUUAGCUCCCGGAAUCCCUCUGGCAAUCAUCUCCCCG